GUGCAAAUUGCAGUUCUUGUUUGUUUACACUUGAAGCUGUACUAGGCACUGAGGGCUGAAGCUGCAACAAAUUCCUAACCGUUCCCUCAUUUGACCAGGAGUGUUUGACCAAACCAUAGAGGGUCGGUGUCAUGAGGAGCUCAGAGGAAAUGUCACAGAGCUCUUUGCUGCUGAGUGGGAGGUCAUGAAGAGUUUGGAGUCUGGCUGUGGUGCUGAUACAUAUGAUGGGUUGAUGGAAAGAAGACAAGCCUGCGAGCGAUGCAACGUGGUGGUGCAUUUGAGGUCUGUGAACGUGAAACAAGUGCCCAAGCAGCUAGCUUGUGUUGAUCUUUGUGCUAGCAUUGCUUCACAAGGCACUGGUGUUUGUUCUGGCUCUACUAGAGGCAGGCGUACACUUAGACUGCAGACCUACUGCCAAUAAUCAUCUUUCUGAAGAGAUUGCUAGGACUGACAGAAAUAACGAGAAGGAGCAAGUUGUGCUGAUCGUGGCCUCCUACCUACUGGUCUGCAAAUGGGGCUUCACCAUGCUGAGCUGCUUCUGAGCACUGCAAAUCCACUGAUUCUGACCACCGUUGACUGUGUUAGCCGCUUUGUUAUCCCAGGAACAUGUCUGGAGAAGAGAGUGCAGCAACAUCUGGAGGAUGGUGAACUGCUACGGUGAGGAAAACUGCAUGAUCUAAGACAGAAUGGCCAGUCCUCAGAAGCUGAGCUGGAAGGAUCAUUUGGGCAUUCCAGCUGCUGCAGGUGGGCCAGGUAAUCACCAGGAGGUGGCAUCCAUCCCCCAGAGACACUGCAGCCCAUGCUGGGUAUGGUGCCUGUCCUUAUCUGUGAGCCUUGUUCUUCCUCUAGAUUGUGCUAGGUCUCUGCAGCAGCGUAUUUGGGACCAGCUAGGUCUUGGUCUGCAGGCUGGAGGUGAGAAGUCCUGCCACCACACAGCGCUGCCAGCGUGUUCCCAUUCUGAGUCAUUCCUUUGCCUGUUUAUUUUCGGUAUUUGUUUAUUUACCAGUGAGGUGUCAGCCCAGAGCAGGUUGGCUGUGCUGAACUCCUCUGGUGGCCCAAUGGCUGCUGCCAGCUCUCUCCAAGUCCUGCUGUGUUGGGAUUGCUUCCACCCCGAGCCCAGGGAGAGAGAGGUUGGGUUGCUGUGAGAGGAAUGCCAGCACAGUCUCCCACCAGAAGCGUGCUCAGCUCCAGGUAACGAGCGUGGUACCACAGGCAUGGCUGUCUGCUGAACUCCUCAUGUCUACAGAAGGAAGAGCUAUUGAGUGGUUAUAGCUGAAAGCCUUGCCUAUCUAAGGAAAUGUCAGCAACAUAUUGAAGUAGGAGAAGGAACAAGGCCUACAGGUCCCCCGGAAUUGUGUGAAGGAAGGACUACUCCUGCUCCAUUGGAACCUGUGGUCUAUGUAUGUCCCCAGCAAGACCUUCACAGAACAUCAGGCAAGGGAUUGUACUGGAAGUUUCAGCAGUGUCUGCCAGGCACAACUGCUCUGGGAAAAGGCCAUCCAGCUGUGGUACCCACAGUUAAAGAAGGAUGUUGAAAAAUUGGAGAUAUUUCAGAGAAGAGCCACAAGAAUGACCAAAAGAUUGGAAAACAUGCCUUAGCAGUGGAGUCCAUCUGCUUAGCUUACCAAGCAGCAAGAAAAGUUUUGAGUACUGCUUCCAAGCCAGUUUUAUAAGGAACGGAAGCAAUACACCCCUGUUCAAGGCAGCACACAACUUUUCAGCACAGAGGUAGUGCCUGUGGCAGCAUUGGGAAGAAUCCAUGAGACAGCAGUGUCAAGCUCUCUGCACUGGCUUUCUGGCAAGGGUUCUCUCCCUGAGCAUGUUUUUUCAUGGGAUUUUCAACAGUAAUGCUUUUCCAUCCAAGGUUUUCGUCAAAAGACUGAAUAAGUUGAAUGCAGAAGACAAAGGCAGUUGGAACAUCCCAUUUGCUCAGCUCAUCAUUGGGAAUAAAGAGGAAGUUAUAAGUCAAUGGGUGCCCUGAAGGAAAGAUUUGGUCUUCUUUGCCUGAGCUUGCCCUGCAAAAGGCUAUCGGUACAGCUCACCUGUUCAUGAAGUACCAGAUAGACCCAUUGGAAUCAGAGCAAUCUCUUGUUCCUGAGCUCUGCUUCAGUUUUGCUGGUGAAGCUCAAGUCUGAGGCUGUGCUCUGACCAAUCUCUCCUUCCUUUACUGUAAAGACACGGUGAAAUGGUAAUCCCUUUCUGAAGGAGGAAACAGGAUGUUCCUCUCCCUUGGCCUGGCAGCACUGGCCAGCUGUGCACAGCUGCACACCAGCCCAGCAGCAGAAAGUUCAAGUUCACCCUUCCUAAGCAAGGAUCUAUGCCUUGGGCUCAAGCCAAGCUGGCAACCACCAACAGAGAGAAGCAGCACAAAGCAUAGCAGACCCCGCAUAUAGGACCCACGUUUGCACCAUUGCCAUUGCUCCACCACUGAGCUAGAGAGGCUUUCAUGCAGACAAAACUUAAGGACUGUAUUUUGGGCAUGUCUUUGGAAAGGCUUCUAAUCGUUGAAAAGUUCUUCACUUGAAUUCAUCAUCAUCAUCAUCACCGAAUGAGUGACAGGGAUUUAAACCUUAAUAUUGUGUGGUAAGUGUAAAAAAAUAUAUGUUUUUUUAACAGUGUUUCUCAAAUGUUGAAAACUGUAGUCCUAGAGGGCAUCAGACAUGACCACACGUGCAUUUGGUAAAAUGGUACCUCAUUCAUAGAUAGUGGAGUUUUAAUGUGAAUGUCCAUUGCAUGAGGCAGUAAAUCUCAUUCAUUAGAUCCUCCCUUUGAAGUCCUUGUUGUGUUGGGACAACUUGUCUACAGGAUCUUCCAGACCUCACUUGUUCACUCUCUAGAGAUAACUCCAGAAUUACUGUUGGGCCUUUCUGCUCAAUAAGUUGUCUGCAAAUGGAAGCAAGACCAGACUCCAAAUUUAUGUUUGCAUUUAGAUAUUUGAAUGAAAAUGAUUCACUCUACCAUUAUUCAGUCCCAAGCUAUUUCAGCCCACUCCCAAAAGACAAACAUGAUGAUUGUGGACCUUUGCUGCAUAUAGCUAUGACUAGGAUUAGACCCUGAGCAAUGAAAAUAAACAAACUAUAUAUAAAAGAGAGAUAUUGAUGUCUUAUGCUGUGUUAGAUACAGAUUUGAGGCUUUCAUAACUUCUGUAGGUGAGCAGUGCUGGUACUACUGAGUGGUAUUGUGAAAGAGAACAGUGAGGUGUGUUUGUGUCUGUGUAUGAAUGUAUGUAAUAGAAAUGUUAUUGGCUUUUGAGAUUGACACUGGAGACUUAGGCACAUUAUAGCAAGGUGGUGUCAGUGCUCAUAUCAGCCUUAUUCAUCUCUAUGAGCCUGAUGCCAGGAAUAAAAGGUUGUGAUGCUGUUCAGUGGCACACAGGCAGCUACCUGACUGUCCUGUUGUGUACACACUGGUGGAAGUUGCCCUGGAGACCACGCAGCAGCGAGGGCGGUAUGCAUGUUUGCAUCCAGAUGCUGGAGUUGCUUGGAGAAGCCCAUCCAUCAGGUGGGUUAACUGGGAGCUUCAUCAGCGCUGCUUGGCUCCUGGCUGUCUCUGUAGAGCUCCAAGAGGGGAGCAGCAGAGUUACUGAAACGCUAGGAGCCAGAGAGGGUUGAGGUUUGGGCACUGUUUUCCCUGUGCAGCCCACAGCUGACUGUGCAAGUCAGCCAGCAGUGAGGCUGCUAGUUCUCCACGGGGGCUGAGACCUCCCUUCCCUUUUUGUAGCGUGCUGCCCUACAGAUGGGUGGUGUCAGAGGGGAUUCAUCCCCCCCAGAUGUGGACGUGGCACACCUGCAUUGUCUAGACACCCCUUCUAACAAGCAGAGGGCAUGAGAUGUGUCUAAGGACUGAGUCACCUUAAGCUGACAGCCCAAACAAGCCUUGCUAAUCCCCCCUAAAACUGCCUAGUUUUCUCCAUCAGCAAUGUUGUGAGCCCAGAGUGGGAGAUAUCUGCACUGCAAGGUAGACUGGGCCCUGUCCCUCUACUGGUGUUAAAUGUGGCUGUGUAAGCAUUAACACAUGAGAAAGUUGCUUUGUUCUGUCCUUCUCAGCUUAGAGUUUGCUGCUGUCUAUGUGGAUGAGAAAGGAACAGCAAGCCAUUAGCCAUUGACCCAUCUUCUAUUUUUAUACGUCCCUCUUUGCCUUAUAAUGAACUUACCAGUGUGGCCGGGGGACACCUAGGAGGUGCAACCAGCCAGGUGCAGUACUGGGCAGGAAAGCACUUUCCUUUUUCUAGGAUGUCAAACUCAGUAUACAGAGGGCUGCCAUCCAUUACACACACAGUCCCCAAAUCUCUUGGUAUCUCCUUUGCCUAGGCAUGAAACCGUGCCACAGCUUGUGUUGGGGGCACGUUGGGUCCCAUGGCAAAGAAAAGCCCACAGCACCAGGCUUCUGUCACAGAAGGGGAUUUUUAAGUGAUGUAUAAGCAUGUGGCCAGGGGACUGCUAGAUGUUCUCCUGCACUAUGCUGUUUCCCAAUGACAGAGGCUCUACCAGCAGUGGAGUAUAAACCAAGGGGUGGAUGCAGGAAGGCAUCAAGGUUGAGGAACUGGCUUUAGUGAGUAUGGAUGCGUACAGCUGAAACUCAUGAUGUUAAACAGACCCUCUUCUGGGCUGCUUUUCAGUCUGACUGUGUUGUGCUUUUUCUGACCAUCAGGUUUUUAUAAAACAUAAGCCUCAGGGGCAGAGCUGUUCUUCCUUUGACACUUGUAACUCAUUCUUACAAGUUUACAUGUGUUGUUGUUGGGAGCAACUGGCUGUAAAUAAUGCUUUUGGUCAAGGCUCUUAGAAUGUGUAACUGAACCUCAAAGCAUCUCUGAGUUGUCCAUACCAUGACUACCAUUGAUCCUUAUACACAAAUAGGGGAAGACAAAUUCCCUCCCAGAAAGCUGCACACCUGGAUGUAGACAAAUGAAGAAAGCCUUGAGCAGACUGAAAGGGAAUGCUCCCUUAACUGAGAAAAUGUGCUUAGGAAAAGGAGGUGUUUAUCUUGUGGCCCUUGUUUCAGGUUAGAGUUGAGAAAGCAUCUUCCUCUUAGAGACACAGGGUUCCUGUAAGUGGCAGAGCAAAAAAUAUUGCAGGGAAAGAACCCAACCCUGGAAUUCCAAAAAUACCAGCUUCUUUCAAAGUAAGAUUUAUAUGCAAGAAGACAAUCUCUCUUACAGAGUUUUUCCUGCUGUUCAGAGUCUACUCACUGGAAACAAGCAGCCAAUUUAAAAAGAUAUUGGAAGAACAGCUUGGACACAGAGAAAGGAAUGACCUGGAGUCUUAAAAAACAGACAAGCUUUUCAGUAGCUCGGCAUUUGGAACAAGAAGCUAAAAGUCACAUAAGGCCAGUAAAGUGUAGGGCAUUCUGGUUACCUAAAAAAUAACCAUCCUUGGCUCCUCUCAUUAGUAUCUCUGCUCAGGGAUCAAGUUAACUGUUUUGUGGGGAGGCUGGAUGCAGUUGUGCAGCUGUGGUGGUGAGUUUUCUUCCAUGUGUAAAGGGUCGGGAUGAGCGAGUGGUUAGGUUAUUUGAGGGCUGGUGUUCCUGAGCCCUCUUUGUCUGGGAUCCAAGACGGGCCUUCCUGUUGAGAAACACUGGCCUACUUCUUCAGUGCAAGACAAACAACAUACCAGCUCCUGCUCUAGCAAGAACAGUGGACAUAGUUAACUAUUUCCAUUAAUGCUGCAACCGUGUAGUUGCUCCUGGAGGUACCUCAGCAGAAGUAGCACAGCUCAUCUUUCCACCCCACCACCCCUCAUUCUUUGGUUGUAUUAAGCCAGUCAUGACCUUUGCAAAAUUGUAGGAGAUCUACUUUUUUGCAAGAAAAGUGUUUGGUUUUGCUAUCAGACUGGUUCCCGGGGACUCAGUAUGCCCUGGUCAGAACUGAGAAUGCCCAUUACGGAAGCUGUGCAUAUUCAGGGUGGAAAUAAUGUGCACCACCAGCUAUAUUUAAGGAUGCAACUUCAUCUGCAGGAUGAGUAGAAAGUAUGUGGGAUUGCUUAACAGCAUUUCCUUAAAAAUGAAAUGAAAACAAAUAGAGGCUCAUGUCUGAAGCCCCAUGCUUCCCUUAAAACAAACAAGCCCAGAUAAAAGAUCUUUCUUUGGAACAGAAUAGAGGCAUGGCCUGUAUGUCGUGCCAUACAGCAUCAUAGUAAUGCAUGGAAAUGACACAGCUGGUGUAUUGGUAAGGGUCUGAGCUGUGCUCUGAGAAGCAUUUUCUCUUCUGUGUCCCUUAGAAGGUAGCAAACGAGGAAGGAGAUGUAGAAGAUGUUAUAUGUGUGAAACUGUUACGUUUUGGCCAUGUAUUGGGCUGCUUUUUGCAAUGCUGUCCAAGUUGUCAUGGGACUGCUUAAGGAGCCCUAAAAUCCUACAGCAUGGGCUACUGGAAUCGCUCUCCCUCUGUUCUUUCACAUGUGCCCCACGCAGAGACAAAAGCAGAUGGAGCUUUGGAUUGUCUUAUGGCGUUUGAAUUGGACGUUACCUUAUCUUCUGCCCUUUAUUCACUUAUACUUGUUACAGUUUGAAAGAGUCAACAAACUGCCCAUACAAAAACAUGUGUGCACAUAAAACCUGUAUAUUCUAUUGAUGAAUGCAUAGCCUAUUACAUAUGCAUUUAAUAAUUGUAUCACAUGUCUAGUUUUCUGUGUAUGAAAAGCAUAGAGGUACCUAUCAACAGAGUUAAGUAUAUACUAAAAAGCUAUGAUGUGGUAGGAGGGCUCUUAGCAGGAGGUAUGUGGGAAGAACUCUUUGUUAUGAUUGCACCCAACCUGACUAGCCCAAGUGUGAUGUACCCAAGCUGAAGAAACCUUUAUACCACACAGUAUUUUUCAGUUAAUUAUAUAUAUUUGUACGUCUGGGUGUGUGUGUGUGGACAAGUGAGAUCAUCCAUUCCUGUGAGACUUUUUUCAUCCUCUCCAGAAGAUUUUUCCUCUCCCUAGCUCCUUUCCAGAAGCUCAACAACAACAAUAGAGCCAAGAGCCUUCCCCCUCAUCUGGUGUCUGCAGUCUGGUGUCUGCACGGAGGGCUGGGCUUUGGGGUGUGGGCUCUGUGUUCCCCAGCGACGUUGACUCUGAGAACUGGUCCAGCUCAAGUCUGGUGCAUUUCCAGGCUCAGAUACAGGAUGUUUUCAGGACAGCCUGGAUGUGGGCCAGGUUCUGGCCAGAACCAGGAAAACAGGAACCAGGAAACAAAUGUGUUUUUUUGUUCUUUUGUUGCUUUUUUUUUUUUUUUCCUUCUUUGAAUGUGCUUGAAUAGCAGAGAACCGUGAUGAAGAAUAGCUCUAGGUUUUAGGCUGUCUGGCACCCCUUAAGUGGUGUAGACUCAAGGGUCUAUCUUAAUACAAACAGAUUUAUUUUAUAGUUAUAUUUGAAAAAUGUCCAUCUCAAUAAUUGUUUAUGAGUUUUGGGGUUAGUUUUGGCUGCUUUUUUUAGAGGUGAGUUGAUUUGAUUUUUUAAAAAAAUAUUUUUUAUUUUUUUUUAGGGUUUUUUACAUUAUUAUUUUGAAAAUUACUUCCUUUUUUAUUUCUUUCCCGUAUUUUCUUGGAUCAGAAGGUUCACCAAGAUGCCAAACUGUGGCUGGCUACAGCUUCAGCACAGCUCGUAACAAUGCAGGCCAUGACAUGCCAGUGUGAUGGAGCGUGGUAUGUACAGUUCAGGAAAGAUGUGACAGAUUAACAUUGCUGAUAAUGGCUGCCACUCCGGAUAUUCUACUAAAAUCCCCUUCUUCUAAGUUGUUUAACUCUUGAGACACUGUUACUGUGAGUACCUAAAGAAAACAGAUGCCUUCAGUCAACAAGACAGCAGGCUUGUAGACGUUUGGAGUAUUUUGUACUCUACUGGAAUGAUGUUUCAUCACUGUAGAGCUGGGCAAGAGCAGAAAUGCAGGCUACUCUUAACUAGUGAAUGAAGAAUAUUUUCUGCUUAAUUUCUAUGUAAUUUCAGGUGAUGUGCUGACUGGGAUCUGCAACCUGCUCCCUGUGUCCACAUGGGGUAUGAGGAAUGCCAAGCAGUGCCCACUGUGUACCCAGCUGUAUUCGUGCUCUCAGCCAGCAGCCCUUCAAGGGCAGCCUGUGCCAUGUUCAGCAGAGGGCUCAGCUGCCUGCCCUGGUCCCAGGACAACAGCCUUCCAAUGGGAACUUACCUUAAUGUAAGUAGCGUGCUCUGAAAUUACACCCUUGCUUACCUUGCGGUAACUUGCUCGUGUAGUCAUGGCCUUAAGGUUUUUCUUUCGUAUCCAUGGCCACAACAUCUAAGCAUUUUAUGGUACAGCAUACACUAAACAUUAAUUUCAAAUUAUUGAGACUAUUUUCAUGACUCAACAACUUUCUAAUGACUGUGUACCUUAUUAAACUCUCGCAGCCCUUUAAUAAGAAAGUUUUCCCUCAUCCCUUGGCAUUUAAACACUGUAUAACUGAAAUGAAAUGCAUAGCUGAAGUAUUUUUUUUUUAGGACACUCGAUUUACAGUGAGCCCAAAGCAGCAAAGGACUCUUUGAAAAUCUCUAGAGUGGACACUCCCAGAGCUGUCUGUAUACACUUCGAAUUAAUUAUUCCCUUCAUGGAAAUUGUACAAGAUGUCCCCUUGCUUCUUUCUGACUGCCUUCCUGCCCUUUUCUGAUAAUCCCUCUCUAUCCUCUGGGCUCUCUCUGGUCCUAAACUUAACAUAUAAAGCUAUUUUUAUCUAGGGGUUAGGGUGUGAAUAAAUUCAGAGAAUGUCUCUCAACAUGACUUUAUGUCUGUAAGCCCUCCUUUAACUUGAUUAGAAAUGCUCAGACUUUCUUGCGAGCUGCCUUUGAGCAUCCUCUGGUGAAGUAGCUGCCAUUGGAAGAAUUUCUUCUCCCAUCGGUUGCAGGAGGCAGGGAUCAGCCAGGAGCAAUAGAGAGGCUUAGAGGUAGACCCAAGACUCAGGAGGUUUCUGAUCCUCACUGCUGCAUAUGAUGACCUUGGACACAUCUCCUCACAGCUCUUGGGUAAUGCAGGUGUGACACAGGCAUUCAUCCUGCAGCUACACCAGAACUGCAGCAGAUGCCCGUGCUGGGCUGUGUUCAGCUCAGUUAGCUGAGGUUUCAGGGACACCUCAGGGAGAUGGGUUCUCAGCGCUCCAUUAAUUUUAAAGAGGGACACAGGUGCCUCCAGGGUUCCUGAAAAAUGCAGCUCUUAAUGUUUUAUGGAAAGGGAUGAAAUGUGCCAGGAAGAAAAAAAAAAAAAAAAAGGAGGAUUUUGUUCAUGUCCUUAGAUGUGAUGAGUCCUUUCUCUAAAAUGGCAAAGGCAAUUCACUGAAACAUUGCAGAGAUUCCCUGGAAGAAGCCACACAAUCUCUUAUCUCUAAUGAGCAGACAGAACAACUGCUUUGUACCUGAAGAUGACCUCAGGAGGCCAGGGCUGGCAGCAGGUUACCUGCCCCACAGGAGCCUCUCUGAGCUCCUCCUGGCUGCAGUGCAACUCAGGUUGUGUCACUAAAUGUCAGUGGUGUCAGUGGAAAGAGCUUCUGCUGGGCUGCAGACAAACAAACGAGUCUUACCAAGCUUGGGCCCCACUGUGGCAGGGCUGCUCUUUGAGGUCAGCUGGACAGGUGUCCUCAGGCACUGCCAGCUGUGUGCCAGCUGGGCUGGAGACCAUGCUGCCAGGCUUGCUGGCUCAGGUGAGCAUAGUCUUGAUACUGCCUCAUACUCUCCUGGUCUAACGAUUACACAGCGGUACUGCAGAGAUGUGCUAUAAGAUAGACUGGCAUAAAGGCAGGCUUGGAGCCAAUGUCAGCUUGCUUUUGAGAGGGACGAAACACCUACGAGUUCUGCAGAGCACUGGAUGCUCGCUUAUGCUGGAUGCACCAGACUCUACGUGCGUUCAGUGGGCUCUGGUGUACCAGCGAAAUGGUGGUCUGAGAUGUUCUGGAGCUGUGAGCGGUCAGCUUGGGUCACAGGUAAUGUGACCAGCAUUCUUUCAGGCUGUUGUCCUUCUUAUUUCAAUGUAAACACUUCCCACCUGUCCCAAAUAUGCGUGCCAUUCUCCAAGACUUUCCAGCAUUGCUUACAUUUGCAGAACUUUAUUCCCCGCUCCCUCUCCCCGUGCCGCAUCUGUUCCCAUCACAGCUGUGGCCACCCUGUUCUGUCUGGCUGACACCCCCGGCCCCCUCCCCUCCGAAUCACCUCCCCCUCCAAGAUCAAAAUACUCUGUUUUUAUUUAUUUACCCUGCAGCUGUCAGUGUUGUGUCUGGGUCAGUGCACUGCAACGUGGAGGGACACGCGAUACGUGGAAAAUCCUUAAAACUGCCAGUCCUGGUAGUAACCAACAUACACACCAUCAACAAAUAGAUCCCUUGGCCCUUUGCUCCUUUGAAAACAACAGGUCUGGGCAAUGGAAGAAAUGACAUUGUUGGAGGCCAGCACAGACAUCCUGGCUUGAACUAGCACUGGGGUUGCAUGUGUUUGGGGAGGAGAGGGAGGGCCGAAGGUAUGGGCCACCCCAGGGCUGUCACAUCAGUGCUUAUCAGGACUGCAGAAAUGCACCAGGCAGUAACGUGGGUGUGAGAUAUCAAAUGAGUGCUUUGCUGCCUCACAGACCCGCACAUUCAUGUUUUAAAUGAAGGAAAACACUGUGAGGGCUACAGAUGUUGUUGAGGAGCAGAAAGCAUUGGUAUCCAAGUGCAGGCUUCAUUGGAGUUUAGUCCUCAGCCCUGUUCAGCCACAGCAUCCUAUAAAGGUAUGCUAUGCUGGUGCAAAGGCCUAGAAGAGGACCUUUCAUCAGUGCAAACUGGUGUAAAAAAAAAAUAAUUCAGAACCAUAACUAUUAGGGUUAGAGAGGAAUGGAAAGAGCAGUCAAGUAGCCAUUGCCCAGCAAAACAGGUUUCUGCUGCUGACUACUGCUGAUUAACACAUCAUUUCCUGCAUUUUCAGGAAACUUUGCACAGUAACUGGAUAAACAGACUUGAUCAAAACUCCUUGCUGUGCUGGUGGUGCACAACUGCAGUGGCUCUUCUUUAUGCUGCCUGCCCUGGGAUGGGCCCAGCAGCCACAUGCUACCCCACCAAAAUGCAAAUGCCAUCUCAAAAACAGCUCUGGAGCGCCCACUGUGAAUAUACAUAUCAUCACUUACCCAUGUUACAGCUAGAACGCACAACCAAGGCUGUGGUUUCCUGAAAGCGAAGAGCUGGGUGCAGCUCUGCAAACCUGGGUGUUUGCUCCCAGCAGCAGCUGUGAUUUGGGCUGAGGUAGGACACACAUUGCAGCAGCUGGGUGAGCAGAUGGAAAACAGGUCUUUGACUGCUAGCCACUGCCCCAGGUAGUGUCUGGGACCACGAGAACUGCUCUUUCCUCUGUGCCUUCUGGGGUUUAGGAGAAAGGGGUAUUCCUCUCUUUCACUCCAGGAUGAUAUUAAGAAAGGAGAAAGGGCAAGGAGAACAGGAUUUCAUUUCUUCUUUCUCCUUCCCCAAGAAUAAUGAAUUUGUUGGUCUGUCAAAAAGAGGGCAGCAAGUAAACUAUAACCCAAGGAAUGGGGUGGUCCAGCACUGGGAGCUGGUCAUGGGUUCCCUUAAUCAAACUCCUCUUUGCUGAGUGUCACCUGCCUUUUCACAUGCACCAUCCAUCCCAAGCACUGCAAGGUAACUUGCAGGAACCUCAACAGGACCUGUGUUGGAGCCUCUUUCUUGGGCUAGCAGGACAUGCCCAUGGCAACCAGACUUUUGGUAGAGAGGUUGGAGAUGAGCAGGCAGGCUGUGGUGGAUGGCUCCAGGGCAACGUAGCAGGCAUUAUGGCUGAACUGGGUCCUGAAGAGAAAUGAAGAGGGAACGCUCUGGACUUCCUUCGUGCACUGUCCUUCCCUUUACAGACAGCUUCUUCUCCAGCUGGACCAGCUGCUACCUCUGACCAGUGAACUAUGGCAUCCAGAGCUCAUACAAACGUUUAGGUGUUCGUAUGGAGGUGAAACAGUUCCAACAGAACUCCAAGAGAAACCCACCCAGUCAAGUACAUGACGGAAGGUGCCCUGGUACCCUGCUGAGUUUCUGGCUCCUGUUCCAUGGCAGAAGGCAAGAGAUUGGAUUGUCUCCCAGUGACAACUGCUAGCACCACAGAGCUAGAACCUGGUAAAAGACGAAGAAAACCGCCAUGCCUUUGGGGAAAUGACUCUGCUACCUUGCCAAGAAACAUGUUUGGCAAGUUUAUAAGCCAAGGUGGAGCUGAAGUUCCCUGAGCCCUUCUGCCCUCCUUGAAAGAUGUCAGGUGGGAACCUCAGCAAACCUAAUAUCUUGAGUAGCAUCUCCAGGGUUGGGCAAACUGGUUCAGGUAGAAGAAAUUGCAGCUCGUACUGAACCUUUGCCCA
ensembl:lncRNA